CUUUUCUCUAUUUAUUCUUCGCGAUGAAGUUUCGAAGAUUUAAUUGAUGGUGGUGGCGAUUGUUCUUAGGGUGUUUCGAUAAAAUUUAAUUGAUGGUGGUGGUGAUUUUUCUAAGGGUGGUUCGAUUUUAUCAUUAACCGGAAAAAAAAUCAAAUGAAAUCAGAGGAAGGAAAACAAAACCUUGCAUUUGGAUCGAUCUCUCUUCAAUCAUCAACCCAUUGGUGAGAAAAUUUGUAUUCAUUUUGAUCUCUCAUUUCAACAUAAGUGGGGAAUCUAUUUUGCAAUUAAGUGUUUUUUUUUAGUAUUCUGCUGUUAAUUUUGGUUUAAUUGGGUGUGGGAAAUGCAGGGCGUUUUUUAGAGUUGAUUAGUUAGAAAAUUAAAAUGAUUAGUUCCAUCCCAUUUUCAUCGAGAAGAAACUAAUUGGAUUGUGAAGAAUAUUGAAUUAGUAUAGGUUAAUGGAGGGUCCAAUGGGGUUUAAUUUUAGGUCGUUAGUAGAGAUUGUAGAUGAAGAGGGAAUUUGGAAAAUGACAAAUAAUGACGAAGACUAAGAAUUUGGGGUAAGGGGGUUGAAACUUGAAAGAUGAUGAAUUCUCCUUCAUGCGUUUUUAGGAAUUGGAAUUGUAUUGGGAAAUCUCCACAGUUUUCUGUUAAUUAAGUUUUCACGCCAUAAUAAUUGCAUAUGAUUGAAAAUUUGAAAUCGUUUGCAAAUUCAUAUACUGCUGGAAAAGCAUCUGUAGACAAGAUAGUAGUCCUCUAUGUUUGCAGGCCAGUAUUUUAAAUAUUGUUGAUGCAUUGAAUUUUCACAAAAUUGUGUGUUUUCCUUAUCAGUUAGUUAUGAUAGUUUGUUUCAGUUCUAACCAUAUAUGAGAAAACUAGACAUUGAGCCUUUUCAGGUGUGCACUUCAGAUUCUAGAGGUGGUGGUACUAACUUGAAAUUCUAGGUAAUCGUGUGAAAUCAGCCAGGUGAGGGUCUUGCGUCUCCAGUACAGUACUCACAAGGCUUUGGUUUCAAGUGUAUCUGGUUUCUGCAGUGUGAUACGUCGCGGAAGUUCUAAAACUCAUUGAUAAUGGAUUUCAAGGUCAGCAGAAUUCGAACAAGUUUUCUGUGUUUAAUCCUUUUUUUAUUUUUGUAAAAUGGAAGAUCUACAUUGGAUUGAUUGAGGAUAGCAAUGUCUUUUAAAUCCUACAUAGCCUCGCAAUAUAUGCGAGGGAGCAUUUUAUUCGUGUAAAUAUAAAGGAUCAUGCAACGUAAGUUCUGUUUUGUUUCAGUUGUAUGUUGUUAGUUUAAAAA